GUGAGUAGAGCUCAGUGGUAGAGCACAUGCUUAGCAUGCACAAGGUCCUGGGUUCAAUCCCCAGUACCUCCA
rnacentral:tRNA from 1 species